rnacentral:rRNA from 1 species
UUGACCCGGCGAUGUCCGAAUGGGGAAACCCAGUGCAAUCCGUUGCACUAUCGUUAACUGAAUACAUAGGUUAACGAGGCGAACCGGGGGAACUGAAACAUCUAAGUACCCCGAGGAAAAGAAAUCAACCGAGAUUCCCCCAGUAGCGGCGAGCGAACGGGGAGCAGCCCGGAGUCUGAAUCAGCUUGUGUGUUAGUGGAACGGUCUGGAAAGUCCGACGGUACAGGGUGAUAGUCCCGUACACGAAAGCACACAUGCUGUGAACUCGAAGAGUAGGGCGGGACACGUGGUAUCCUGUCUGAAUAUGGGGGGACCAUCCUCCAAGGCUAAAUACUCCUGACUGACCGAUAGUGAACCAGUACCGUGAGGGAAAGGCGAAAAGAACCCCGGCGAGGGGAGUGAAAAAGAACCUGAAACCGUGUACGUACAAGCAGUGGGAGCCUCUUUAUGGGGUGACUGCGUACCUUUUGUAUAAUGGGUCAGCGACUUAUAUUCUGUAGCAAGGUUAACCGUAUAGGGGAGCCGAAGGGAAACCGAGUCUUAACUGGGCGUUAAGUUGCAGGGUAUAGACCCGAAACCCGGUGAUCUAGCCAUGGGCAGGUUGAAGGUUGGGUAACACUAACUGGAGGACCGAACCGACUAAUGUUGAAAAAUUAGCGGAUGACCUGUGGCUGGGGGUGAAAGGCCAAUCAAACCGGGAGAUAGCUGGUUCUCCCCGAAAGCUAUUUAGGUAGCGCCUCGUGAACUCAUCUUCGGGGGUAGAGCACUGUUUCGGCUAGGGGGCCAUCCCGGCUUACCAACCCGAUGCAAACUACGAAUACCGAAGAAUGUUAUCACGGGAGACACACGGCGGGUGCUAACGUCCGUCGUGAAGAGGGAAACAACCCAGACCGCCAGCUAAGGUCCCAAAGUCAUGGUUAAGUGGGAAACGAUGUGGGAAGGCACAGACAGCCAGGAUGUUGGCUUAGAAGCAGCCAUCAUUUAAAGAAAGCGUAAUAGCUCACUGGUCGAGUCGGCCUGCGCGGAAGAUGUAACGGGGCUAAACCAUGCACCGAAGCUGCGGCAGCGACACUAUGUGUUGUUGGGUAGGGGAGCGUUCUGUAAGCCGUUGAAGGUGUGCUGUGAGGCAUGCUGGAGGUAUCAGAAGUGCGAAUGCUGACAUAAGUAACGAUAAAGCGGGUGAAAAGCCCGCUCGCCGGAAGACCAAGGGUUCCUGUCCAACGUUAAUCGGGGCAGGGUGAGUCGACCCCUAAGGCGAGGCCGAAAGGCGUAGUCGAUGGGAAACAGGUUAAUAUUCCUGUACUUGGUGUUACUGCGAAGGGGGGACGGAGAAGGCUAUGUCAGCCGGGCGACGGUUGUCCCGGUUUAAGCAUGUAGGCGGAGGUUCCAGGUAAAUCCGGUACCUUUUAACGCUGAGGUGUGAUGACGAGGCACUACGGUGCUGAAGUGAUAAAUGCCCUGCUUCCAGGAAAAGCCUCUAAGCAUCAGGUAACACGAAAUCGUACCCCAAACCGACACAGGUGGUCAGGUAGAGAAUACCAAGGCGCUUGAGAGAACUCGGGUGAAGGAACUAGGCAAAAUGGUGCCGUAACUUCGGGAGAAGGCACGCUGAUGUGUAGGUGAAGCCCCUGCGGGUGGAGCUGAAAUCAGUCGAAGAUACCAGCUGGCUGCAACUGUUUAUUAAAAACACAGCACUGUGCAAACACGAAAGUGGACGUAUACGGUGUGACGCCUGCCCGGUGCCGGAAGGUUAAUUGAUGGGGUUAGCGGCAACGCGAAGCUCUUGAUCGAAGCCCCGGUAAACGGCGGCCGUAACUAUAACGGUCCUAAGGUAGCGAAAUUCCUUGUCGGGUAAGUUCCGACCUGCACGAAUGGCGUAAUGAUGGCCAGGCUGUCUCCACCCGAGACUCAGUGAAAUUGAACUCGCUGUGAAGAUGCAGUGUACCCGCGGCAAGACGGAAAGACCCCGUGAACCUUUACUAUAGCUUGACACUGAACACUGGUCCUUGAUGUGUAGGAUAGGUGGGAGGCUUUGAAGCGUGGACGCCAGUCUGCGUGGAGCCAACCUUGAAAUACCACCCUUUAAUGGCUGGUGUUCUAACGUAGACCCGU